UUCACCCGCGUUUACUAGCUAGCUGCUAAUGCUAAUUAGCGUGCCGUUUCAAGCAUGUUAGGGUUGUUUUUUGUAGCUUUAAUCCGCAACACAGCUACAUAAUGUCGUUGAAAAAGACACGAAGAGAAGAAAAUUGAGUUGAAAGAAGCUAAUUUCCUGUUUUUCAAAGUGAAAUGCAGCGUCGAGUGAAGAGCUAAUAUUGGGAGGUCCGCUAAAGCUAGUGACCCAGUGACGGUUGUAACUUUUGACGUGUCGGACAUUUUAGCAUUUCGCUAACCGUGGUGGAGCUAAAUUUACUCGAGUACUGCACUCAUAUUUGAGGUACUUCUACUGUAGUUGAAUAUUUAGAGUUAAGAGUACUUUUUAUUACACUCAUUUCACAGCUGUUGUUCUUAGGAUACGUCACUAGUACAGUGCGGCCUACAUAUAGGACAACAAAUAGCGGGCAUCUUGUGAAAUGUUUUUACUUUAAAAUGGGCUUUGCAAUUUACUUUUUAUUUUUACAUUAUUAAUAUUUUCUUUUGAAGACUUUGCUGUAGUAGGGCAUUUGACAGUGUGUUAAAAAAAAGGUUUGACCUCUGACUACAGGCAAAACCACGUUUUUGUCGUGCCAGAAUUAAUUUUGAAAUGUGUCUGUUUUGCUUCUAUAACUUGUCUGUUAUUAGACUAAUGGGAAGAAAACAUCCACAAUACAUAUUUAGAUGUUUUUAUAUUCCACUCGUUUCUAUUUAUGUCAAGUUUUCAGUCAUAAUCUAAAUGUUUAAAGCUGCUGUAUUCUCAGAAUAUUUUUUUCUUUACCAUCUCCUCCUCAGCUGCAUUUACAUCCACCAAACUGUCCAGUUAUAUUCCCAGCUAUGUUCUGAAGGCUAAGCAAGAGUUGCCAGGGAGGGUGAGCUCAAAAAGGAGGAUAAAGCUCAGCGGCACUGCGUUUGUGAUGAAAAGACAAAUGUGUUGAAGCAGCAGGAGAUAAAAGAUGAGCAACAUUGGAAGAUGGAUGUUCUCUACCAGGAGGGUGAGAUUGUGUUGUCAUUCCACGAUGGUCUGGCCUGCUGUGACGAUUUCAUUAGGUCUUUCUCCAGAGAAGCCGGACUGCAGCCCCUCCUCAAAUGUCCGGUUGCCUCAAGUCCCAUUACCACAUUAUAAAUAAAUCUUUUGUAAUUUUUUAAAGAACCUGUUUUUUGUUUUUUGGGGACUGGGAAAAUAUUCCACCUUUUUU